GGAAGACGUGGCCGGCGGAGGAGGAGCCGCCGGGUUUAGGCCCCUCCCUUCCAGACUAAACCCCGUCCCCUCUCCGCUUCUCCCACCGAAAUCCCCUCCCUCCCUGGAUCGCCUUUUCUUCCUCCCUCCUUCUCGACUGGAAUGCUGAUGCCCAUCAGUCGCUCGCUCGCCCUCUUUUCUUCCCUUCUUGCUCCUCUUCCCCCCUCCUCUCCUGUAUUUCUCCUCCCCCGCCUUUCUCCACCAGACACUGCUGUAAUCGGAGCUCUGCCAAAGAGGAAGGCCUAUCUCCACCCCCACCCCCCCUUCUAGCCAAGAGGCUACUGGUGGACUAGAAAUGGUGGUGGCGUAGGGUGCUGCUGGACCUAGCCUAAGUGGUUUUCUUUGUCAGAGUUGGAGGGCAGGAAUAAACUUUGCAAGCCAUCAGGAAGCCCCUACUGCUGCUGCUGGCUCAUUGAUAUGAUGUUGUCAUAGAACUGCAGUACUGCAGUCAGUGGAAAUAGGCAGGAAGUCUGUCUGGCUUCUUUGGGAUGUCUGCUGAGUUUCAUUUACAGACUCUAUUUCAUCUUCUUGCUGCUGUAUGUAUGACCACAGAGUCAUUGUAGGAGUCAUCAUAUCAUUCCAUUUGUUUGAAUUUUUAUAGCAUUCUGAUGUCAAACUAUUUUCCAAUUAAUUUUGCCAAGGAAUAAAACUCAUGAUUGUAGGUUCUACAAACAGUUUGCUUAAAAGGAAAAUGCCAUAAUGCCAAAAUAGCAAUCCUCUACACUGGGGAGUAAGUCCCACUGAAUGUAUUACAUCUGCCUUCUGAGUAAUCUUACAUAAAGACAUGAAUAACAAUAAUCCUAGCCACAAUUACUUAAGAGUAAACUCUAAUGAAAUAAGGAUGACUAGCUUAUACAUAAACAUGUUUUGGGUUCAGCUGUUCAACCAAAUUCAUUCAUGUUGAUUUCAAUGUGCUUGCAUCUUUACAUUUAUCUAGAAGUAAUAUUUGUGUAACUUCUGAUUGAAUUCUUUUAUGAUGUUCGGCUAAACUUGCAUGAGUCCAUUCACUUCAGAGUCCAUUCACCUAACUAGUUUGUGAAUGAAACUUUUAAUUCCUUUUUUUUAAAAAAAAUAACAAAAUGCAUGGCAAACAUGUCUAUUUUACUGGUUGAAUAAAGAAUGCAAGUGUACUGAA